UACGGAGGGUGCGAGCGUUGUCCGGAAUCAUUGGGCGUAAAGGGCGCGUAGGUGGCGGGACAAGCGUGCGGUGAAAGCCUGGGGCUCAACCCCGGGUCGGCCGUGCGAACUGUUUUGCUUGAGCACUGUAGAGGCAGGCGGAAUUCCGGGUGUAGCGGUGGAAUGCGUAGAGAUCCGGAAGAACACCGGUGGCGAAGGCGGCCUGCUGGGCAGUAGCUGACGCUGAUGCGCGACAGCGUGGGGAGCAAACAGG
rnacentral:rRNA from 1 species